UUUGAUUUCUUCGGGAUGAAGAGCUUAGUGACUGAGCGGCGGACGGGUGAGUAACGCGUGGGUAACCUGCCUCAUACAGGGGGAUAACAGUUAGAAAUGACUGCUAAUACCGCAUAAGACCACAGCACCGCAUGGUGCAGGGGUAAAAACUCCGGUGGUAUGAGAUGGACCCGCGUCUGAUUAGUUAGUUGGUGGGGUAACGGCCUACCAAGGCGACGAUCAGUAGCCGACCUGAGAGGGUGACCGGCCACAUUGGGACUGAGACACGGCCCAAACUCC
rnacentral:rRNA from 1 species